GUCUACAGCCACGCCACCCCGAUCAUGUCCAAUCUAGUCGGAUCUCAGAAGCUAAGCAGGGUCAGGCCUGGUUAGUACUUGGAUGGGAGACCACCUGGGAAGACUGGGUAUUAUAGGCA
rnacentral:rRNA from 1 species